UCUGGGUGAGAAUAUGCAAAUUAGUUUAACAAAAUCAAAUUUUUGCUUUAUUCCAUUUUAAACAUGGAUUCCUUUGAGUCUGUGUUUGCUGUAUACAACAGCAUGAGCUUGGUUACUGGUUUGCUCAUUGAGGCUUGGUAGUACAUGGGAAGCGAAAAACUCAUGCUAAUGAUUUGUAUUAACAAUGAAACAGCUGUCCAUGAGUGGUUCACUGGCUUUGCAUAUUUUCCUAAGUGGUGUGUCAAAGCUGUUUACAGCAAACACAGACACAAGGGAAUCCAUGUUUAAAAGGGAAUGAGGCAAAAAUGUGGUGGUUUGUUUGAUUUGCAGCUAUUUGAGAACAGAUCAAGAUCAAUCACUUUAGUUGGUAGGGUAAGCUAAUGUGUGAAAAACUAUCAUACUUUUUGCAAGUCUAGG